rnacentral:lncRNA from 1 species
AUGGGAAAACUGAGGCCCAGGAAGGGGUGGCCGCGGCUCAGUGGUGCCGCGAGGAGGCCCCUCCACGGCCGGCAGCGCCCCAGCCCCUCCCUCCUCCCCCCACUUCCCCUGGCCGCCGAAGGGAGGGACGCCGGGCGGGGCCGGGGCGGGUGUACCUGGUGUCCGCGCGGGGAGGUGACCGGCGGGGCGCCCGAGGUCGGGCUCGGCGAUCCCGGGCCCUGGCUCCCGGCUCCCGCUUCCUGGCUCUGGCGGGGCAGGAAGUUGGGGCGUUUUUCCGGAGGCCCCCGCCCCGCGCCCCUCCCCGCUUCCUGCCCGCGCCCCGCGCCCCGCCGGCACCUCCGCUUCCUUCCCCUUCUCGUCGCCCGCCCGCCCCCCUCUCCGCGCUCCGCCCGGGACCCGCGGGUACCGGCCCCGCCCGACCUCUGCCGGCGUGUCUGUCUGUCGGUCCGCAGGGCGCGGCUCGACGCUUCUCACAUCUGCCUGGCGUCCGCCAUCGCCUCCCUGCCGGGGCUGGGGGCGAGGCUCACCCUGCCUGCGCCUCACUCUGCGCCGCAGCCUCCCCUGCUUGCCGUCUCUCUGUGUCUCUUGGUCUUCCUUUCCUUCUUUGCCUCUCUGUGUGUGUUUCUGUCUGUGUCCGUCUCUCCGUCCCUGUCCCUGUCUCUCUCUCUCCCCUUUUCUCCGUUGGGGUCUUUCCCUUCCGCUCUCCGUUAUCUCUCCUCCUCUCUGUCACUUUCUCCCUCAGAACCAUUCUCUUCCCUUCUCUGGGUCCUUCUGCAUCUUUCUCCAUCUCAGUCUUUUCCCAGCUGUUGCUUUCAGGGGUCAGUCUCUCCAUGUCCAUUUUUCUAUGGACCCUUCUUUUCUUUCUAUCUCUUCCUGCUAUCUCUUUCUCAGUAUCGCUGUCUCUCUCUGAUUCCCCUUCCCCUCAUUGUCUUUCUCUUCUCUUGCUCUGUCUCUUUGUCACUAGAUCUCUGUUGCAGUCCCUCCACUCUGUAUCUCAGAAACUCUGCAUCUCAGAAACUCUGCAUCUCUGUGCCUCUCUUGUCAUUGCCCCUGGGUCUCCCCACCAUCCCCAAGUUAGGGCCACAGACUCUCCAAAUCCAUCUGUUAAAGGCCACCCCCCAGAGGACAGAUGUGGCCUGGCCAGAGCCACAGUUCCAUACUGGCCCCACCAGACAGUCCCCUGUGUUUGUACCUGUGUUUGUAGGACUCAAAUACUAG